rnacentral:lncRNA from 1 species
CUCUCCCUGACGAGAGGACUGGAGGAGGCACCUCUCCGAGUCUUAGACUUCAGUCUGAGACUUAGUGAGAGGAGCCCCGAGGAGACAACCCUUCUCUCUUCUUUACCUGUUCUUUUCUUUUACUUACAGACGCAAGCUGAGGCGCGGAGCUUUAGAAAGUUCGCAGUGGUUGGAAGUCCUUGCGCAGUGGGGCCACUCUCUGCAGAGCCAGAGGGUGAGUCGGCUUCUUGGUGAGCGCCUAAGAGAAUGGAUCGCAGGUCCCGGGCUCAUCAGUGGCGCCGAGCUCGCCAUAAUUACAACGACCUGUGCCCGCCCAUAGGCCGCCGGGCUGCUACCGCUCUCCUCUGGCUCUCCUGCUCCAUCGCUCUCCUCCGCGCCCUAGCCUCUUCCAAC